rnacentral:rRNA from 1 species
GGAUUGCCUCAGUAACGGCGAGUGAAGCGGCAAGAGCUCAAAUUUGAAAGCUGGCUCCUUCGGAGUCCGCAUUGUAAUUUGCAGAGGAUGCUUUGGGUGCGGCCCCCGUCUAAGUGCCCUGGAACGGGCCGUCAGAGAGGGUGAGAAUCCCGUCUUGGGCGGGGUGUCCGUGCCCGUGUAAAGCUCCUUCGACGAGUCGAGUUGUUUGGGAAUGCAGCUCUAAAUGGGUGGUAAAUUUCAUCUAAAGCUAAAUACUGGCCGGAGACCGAUAGCGCACAAGUAGAGUGAUCGAAAGAUGAAAAGCACUUUGAAAAGAGAGUUAAACAGCACGUGAAAUUGUUGAAAGGGAAGCGCUUGCGACCAGACUCGCCCGCGGGGUUCAGCCGGCAUUCGUGCCGGUGUACUUCCCCGUGGGCGGGCCAGCGUCGGUUUGGGCGGCCGGUCAAAGGCCCCUGGAAUGUAGUGCCCUCCGGGGCACCUUAUAGCCAGGGGUGCAAUGCGGCCAGCCUGGACCGAGGAACGCGCUUCGGCACGGACGCUGGCAUAAUGGUCGUAAACGACCCGUCUUGAAACACGGACCAAAGAGUCUAACAUCUACGCGAGUGUUCGGGUGUCAAACCCGUGCGCGCAGUGAAAGCGAACGGAGGUGGGAGCCCCCUUGCGGGGCGCACCAUCGACCGAUCCUGAUGUCUUCGGAUGGAUUUGAGUAAGAGCGUAGCUGUGGGGACCCGAAAGAUGGUGAACUAUGCCUGAAUAGGGCGAAGCCAGAGGAAACUCUGGUGGAGGCUCGCAGCGGUUCUGACGUGCAAAUCGAUCGUCAAAUUUGGGUAUAGGGGCGAAAGA